AACGAACGCUGGCGGCAUGCCUAACACAUGCAAGUCGAACGAGACCUUCGGGUCUAGUGGCGCACGGGUGCGUAACGCGUGGGAACCUGCCCUUAGGUUCGGAAUAACUCCCCGAAAGGGGUGCUAAUACCGGAUAAUGUCUUCGGACCAAAGAUUUAUCGCCUUUGGAUGGGCCCGCGUUGGAUUAGCUAGUUGGUAGGGUAAAAGCCUACCAAGGCGACGAUCCAUAGCUUGUCUGAGAGGAUGAUCAGCCACACUGGGACGGAGACACGGCCCAGACUCCUACGGGAGGCAGCAGUGGGGAAUAUUGGACAAUGGGCGAAAGCCUGAUCCAGCACUGCCGCGUGAGUGAUGAAGGCCUUAGGGUUGUAAAGCUCUUUUACCCGGGAUGAUAAUGACAGUACCGGGAGAAUAAGCUCCGGCUAACUCCGUG
rnacentral:rRNA from 1 species